rnacentral:piRNA from 1 species
UCUGUGCUCACUGGCAUGAGCCUUGA